AGAGAGAGAAAGAGAGAGAGAGGAUGUACUUACCAGAAAUUAUUGAUACUGCUGCUUCUGUUUUUGAUCAGAGAUGCCAAAAUAGCGAAGAACUAAAAUCCCCAUUUGAAAUCCCUAGCUAUAGCAUUUAGUUACUUUGGUAGGUGGAACUCAAGAUACGAAGUUGAAAGAGGUACCUAAUCAUUUAUCAUUCUAUAAGCAAACCACUCUAUUUAAAUAAAUAAAAAAGAAUUAGGUUUUUGAUUUUAGACUUCAAAAGCACCUUAGAAUCCUGAGUGCAUGGCUAAAUAAAAACCUAAAAUGGCAAUGUUUGGACAUGCAAAAUUAGUGAUGGACUUGCUUGCAAAUGAUUUUACUAACUCAAAGAUUUUACCUUGACUGAUCUGAUUUUGUGUCUCUGUUGAAACAUUUAUGUGGAUUUAACUUGUAGACUUGUAAAAUUUUAUGAGGUAAUGCAAGUAUAACAGCAAUACAUCUGCUAGCAAUCUGUGGCGUCAUACAGUAUUCUAAACUUAUUUUUUUUUGGUAGUGAUAUAAGUAAUUUUAAUUAGUUUAUAUCUAAAUGCAAAUGUUUUUCUUCGCAUGAAUUAGGAUUUACCAUGCUGAGGUGAUGUCAACUAGGAAAAUGCUAAACCUUAUAGAAUUCUUUAAAUAUUCCUAAAUAAUAGUAUAAUUCCUAAUAAUAGAAAUACUCUUUCCAAUUUUACAACGAAAAAUUAAAUCAAAAUAAUUUC
rnacentral:misc_RNA from 1 species